GUACCACAGUUGUGAAAAUAAAAUUCAUUUCCAAACAUUUCCCUAAGAUGCUGAAAAGCCUGGACCGCCAAAGCAAAAUGCACCAAGACCCCAGCAUUUCAUCUAGCUGUCUAAAAUAUUAAACUUUUCAUAUAUGCGGGGUUGGAAUGCGUUCUUCUCCAAGUGCACUUCAGAGCGCUCGCCCCACAUCAGCAACGGUAGUUCCGGCAUACUGCAAUUUCCCGAUCCCCACGGGAAUGCCUGCAAGGAUUCCAUCUGAAGGUUUAGGCGACAUCCAAAGUUAGUGGGCGCUUCAGCAGCUGAUGUAGAAAUGAUGCUCAGCUCCCCGGCCAUCUUCUCCAGACCGUGCCUCUAAUAAGAACAGUACACUUGCAUGCGUUCCUGAACUACAAUGGGACAGGCCAGUGAUUAAAGUAGUGAAGCAUAGCGCAGUAUCUCUCUGGUAACAUACAUUGUGUAUGGAAUGGAGCGUAAAGGGAAAUGAGAUGAACUUUGUACAGCUCACCUUAAUUAAGUCGUGUCCCAGUGGAAAUUAAUGUGAAUGUUAAUAGCAUGUAUAUACAUUGUCUGAGCUUUCUCUCAGUGCCCACUUCAAGCCACAUGCACUGUCCCGGGUCUGUCAGUUCCGGGUGUUCACACACAUUCUCCUUUUCAUCCAGCUGGCCGUCACUUUGUAUCUUGCAAGUGGUUAACAGCAAAUUCUAUGGACAAUAAGAGUUACAUCUUAGCACCUUUCCAAACAUCUGCCGGCCAGCACACGACGCUUCAGCCCGACCACAGGCUUCUGAAUUUCACGCUAUUUCAGGGGGUUCCACUGUGUUUUGUUAAAUUAAGACUGUGGAGUACCAUGUUUUUGCCGGCCCCUAGUUUUACUUUGGUUUGUAGCCCCCCUGAGCAGUGAAGGUCUGCACGUUUGUUCCUUAUUUUUCUUAUUAUCUUAAAAAGACUUAUUUUUCUUAAUAAAUAAACAAAUAAAUAAUUUUUUCCCCCCUUUUUCUUUUGUUCGGAAUUGGGGCGAUGGAAAGCAGAGCGGAGACGCACCCAGCGGAGGCCCCUGGAAACCGUUAAGGCCGGGGACGUUCUUCGGAGGGGAGACGCUCUAUCGCGCCGGUCGCGUCGGAUGCAAAGCGACCCGUUUGAAUUGGCACAAUUACUUAACUUAUCGAUGAAUCCCACAGUGCGGCGAGAAGGAAAAGCGCGUAACAAACUGUACUUUAAAGUGUAAUUUAAGUCCCUAAUUCAGAUCCGGAGUCCGCACGUCAAACUGUCAGAGCCCCGGGCCGUCCCUAACGAGGCCGGCUGCGCUAAGGAGGCAACGACUCCCAGGUGCCGCGGGGCCGCGGCCGGCCGGGCGCAGCUGCGCCUCGUCGGGAGCCGCGGGCGGGGCCCGCCCCAAAGCCUCUUAAGCUCCUCCGGAGGCUGCCGGGAGCCACGGGGGAGUUUCUGCGGUUCUGUAUGGCAGACGGAGUGAGUUCUGUUUCUUUGUCGGGCCCUGGUGCUGCUGAGGCUGAGAAGCGGCUGCUGUGAGCCCUUUUGCGGCUGAGCGAGGGCUGUAGCAGAGCCUCUCAUCGCUCCGAAGCAGGCAGCUCGUGGAAGCGGGGAGUGUUUGAGAGUCGCUCGGUAAGAUCUCCCCUGCUGGGGCUCCUGUAGGGUUGCUGCCCGACUGCCUCCGUAUCUUUGGGAUCGGCACGGCGCCGCCGCUGGGGGCUCCCGUGUGGCUUUUUAGUAGGACCGGCACGGGGCCUCCGCCCGAGACCGAGCACGAUCCCGGGGUGGCCUCGGCCACUGCGGAGUGUUUUGCGGGUGCUCUCACCCAUCCCGUUUCCAGCGGUGGGAGCGAGCAGGAAAGGCAGACCGGUCAGGCGGUGGAGUCUCUUUUCGAGGGAGAGAACGGGAACGUAUCGAGCUCCACCUAGGGAUGACUGAAGAACCAGCGGAGCGUUUGUGCGUGAGGCUGAAGAGGCAGGUGACGAAGGAGGCAUUGAGGAGCUCCCUAUUGCAGAAGAGCCAUCUGGGGACAGGAAGGCCAGGGGCAGCCUGGAGCGUGCCAGUCGUGAGACCACAGCGUUUGGGAUCUUGUGUGGAAGCUGCAAAGCAAUGAGUAGGAUUGAAACACUGGACUUAGAGGGAGCCAGGUUUGUCCUCUUGAAGGGCCUACUUGGAGGUAACCCUUGCUCAAGCAUAGGAAGGGGUCCUGUGAAUGCUGGAGCAUUACUUUGUCCAUGCUGAGGUGCGCUGCGUCCCAAGGAGGAAGGAAGUGCGCAGGAAUGGUGGGGGACCUGCAGGGCUGACUGAGGAACUUGAAGGGGAGAAGGAAGAGAGAGGCUGAGGAAGGCCAAGUCCCUCUGAGUAUCAGCUUUGGGAGGGAGGUCAAGGCUAAUGGAAGUUUGUCAACAGGAGAGACUGGAGAAAUUGCAGGCCUGUGCUUCACAAGGCAAGGGCCUGAGUAAUGGAGGAUGGAGGACAUGCUGGAUGCCUGUUUUGGUUUCAGUGGUUUCUGCUGAGAGUGCUCCUGGGGUCCUGGAGGAGAGAGUCUCAGAGGAAGGCUGCCUUCCCCUCAGUUGCAGAGGAGCUGGUCAAAAGUGGUUCAGGCAGAAAGGAGGCCAGCAAAUGCCUGAGCUGUAGAGGGCUAUGCCUGUGCCCGCUGAGAGCUGGCAGCGGUGACCGGCAAAUGGCGCUCUCUGUCACUUUUCCCUGCUGUUUCCUGUGGGGAAAGGUACCUGAAGACUGGAGGAUGGCGGAUGCCACCGCAGCCUUCAGAAAGGGUGUGGAGGAUGGCGUGUGCAACUUGGAGGUAGGUUGGCCUCACCUCUGUUCCUGGGGAGGUGACGUAACAGCUUGUUGCAGGUGUCAUUGCCAUGUGACCGGAAGAGAAGGAAUUUGCAAGGAGCAGUCCAGGUGGAUGGACAGAGGGGAAGUCAUGCCGGACCAAAAGGGCGAGGGCUGCAGCGGAGAGCUUUGCCGAGAGGAUUGGCUGGAGCAGGUGUGCGGUUUCCCCAGCAGUGGGAUGAAGGAGGUGAGAGAGGGGGACCCCCAGGCGCGCCCCCUUGGAGGUGGUUUGUGGAGGUCUCCGUGCAGGUUCAGGCCGGAGGCAGGAUCCUGGUGGUGUGAGCGGGGUGCCCCUGUGGAGCAAGGGUGGAAGGUGCGUGGCAGGCCCUGUCCCGGAGGAGUGGAGUUGAUGGAGCGUGGCCCUUUGAUGCUGGAGUGAGGGGUCCUGGUGGGGCUGAAGUCCUGCGUGGAAGAGGGAGAUCCCAGGCGCUGCGAUGCGGAGGAGGAGCGGAGCCAGCGGUGGCUCCUGUGUGGUGAUGGCUGCUUAGUGGUGGUGUUCCCGGUCCUGGGCUGAAAGGAGGAGGAGGAGAAAGCUUUUAGUGUGUUACUUCAAAGCUCAGGCUUGGAUGACCUUGCUGAGGCUGAACAAGAGUACAAAACCUGUGAGUUAAAUGGGUGGAACAAAACUACAGCUGCUGCACCUUACCGGGCCGAGAGUCGUGACCUGAUCUUCCAUCUUUUACACAAAACGAGUCAGAUCUUCAGCUUGCUGCCACGAGUAACUCACACAUUCUCCAAUUCCUCGUAUGGAAAGAAGGUUUUCUUCUAAGGGAUUAUUCCAAUGCGUAAAAUCGGUGAAUUCACCUGUACAGUAAUGAAAUACUUUCAAUAAUUUCAUGCAAAACUUUCUUUAAGCAGUGCCUUGGGUCAGUCUUUCCAUGUGAGAGCUGCAUCAGUAAAAGUUCUCCUUUCGGUCCAUUUCUGACUUAUUUUUUAUAAUUUAGUUUAAAAGUUCAAGUCAUCCAACCAAAGCUGUGACAACAGGAAUAACAGGCUCGUGGUAUAACAGCAGUAGGAUUUAGGCACCUGUGGAGGGAGAAACACUGAAGAUUUCACCGUGGGUUCAGGGUGGGCCAAACAUUAAAAUCCCUUUCUUGGUUUAAGAUCAGAAUGCACCUUCGUGGGAUUCAUUUCUUCCUUACAUCUCAGUAACCAAGUAUGCAUUGAGUGACCUACACCUUUAAGGGGGAAAAUGGUCUCAGUCAAGCGCUGGAUGAAUAUAAAUAGUAAUAAUAAAAGCCUAUCAGUAAGGAAAAGCUGAGCAUUCUUUUUGAAUGCAAACAUAAUAAUUAAUAAUAAUCAUAAUCAUAAUCUGUGGCACAGGACCCAAAGAGACCUUUUCCUCACAGUUUCACACAGCAGUUCUCUCAUCAGCUCUGAAACCAUCUACCUCUGCAACUCAGAAAGCUUUCUUUUUUUCUUUUCCUGAAAGUUCAAGGAUACGUUAUCCAUUUUCUGGGCAAGUUUAGAACUUUGGGUCUCACUUCUGCAUACACGGAAUCUUCUCUAAAGUCACUAAGACAGAACAAAACCCGAGACCCUCUUUGGACUGCAAAUCCAGAAGCAUUCGACCCUGCGGUUCUGCCAAGCAGUGUGAAACACCGUAUUUGUAUCCGCCUCACGCAGCUCCCGCCCGAGUUUUUUCUCCGCGCUGAGCAUCAGUCUGCAGUCCUCGGUAAUUCCGGUAGAGGGCAAUACAAUAAAGCCAUUCAUAGAGGGCUCUCCGAGGCAGCUGCCGUAACUGGCUCCCACAGAACGCCUCAGGCUUUCUUCUUGUUCUGGAUUGGUGUGCUAAUGCCAAAUAUUUACAAUUGAAUCUUUUUUUGAUCCCGGGAACGCUCAUACUGCUUAUUUCUUCUUUGACAGCACAAACGCACGGGCGCGUUCUCAGUGCCUGAAAACAUCUCUAUGCAAAAAUCAAGAUAUAACUCUCUUUGCUACCACUUUUUUUUUUUGUCUCAUCCUCAGCCAUCCGUUUGAAUGUAAACGUUACAGUAUACCUCACAUCCGUAAGGAGUCUUUACAUUCAGGUGUAGUUUUAAAAAGUCUCAUAGGAACCUCUUGCAGUCGAUUAAUGGGCACAUCGGAAGCAAAUCAACUGGAAGUACGGGAUGAGUGUUAUUUAAUUCUCCCUAGGGCUUUGCUAUUCACACACUCCUCUGUGCAGGUAGAUAUUCACGUGCGUAUGAAAGGAAAACUCACCUUCAAGGCGUAACAAAGGGAAACCCGCACUGGGAUCAUUCGUAGGAAAGCAUCAUUUCACAGUACAUAGGUUUAUGGAUUGUGAGAGAUAGUGAUGCAUUUGUAAGGAUGAUCCCUACGAUAAGGUUCUGUGGUUUUAUUUUCUCAAGUCUAGACGUAUUUAGUCAAUAAUGAUUUCUUCAAAAGAUAGCCACAUCUCCAAGACAAGAACAGAACGGCCACGUGGCAGAUUUCACACAACCUCACAACAGUACCAUGAACUAUACGGGAGUUUCAUAAUUCAUGAAGGAACAAUAUUCCCUCCCGGGCACUAAAACUAGUCCAGAUAACACCAAGAACAGCUGAAAAGCCGGACAGUGUGAUUUCCCCUCUCCUCAAGUAUAGAGAGACACAAGUAUGAAACAGCUGGAAAACAUAUUCAAAGGAUGACAGGCACCACGUCACAGCAGAAGUGCCAGGUAAGCUCAGCGCAAAACAGUCCCUUUACUUCUUUCAUUCUUUCUUUCAUUUGUGACCAGAUUCAUGAGUGGAUGGAAAUGCUUGACAAAGUGAUAAUGAAUCUCUCUGAACGUUUACAUGGUUCCCAUCAGUGCAAAGACUCACCCAGUGCUAAAAGUAAUUCACUACAGUGUGUAAAAAAAAUAAACAAAUCAUUCUCCUUUUCACUGCAUUUGGCAUUUUUGGCUCCCUGUGUACGAAAUGGCCACGGUG
rnacentral:lncRNA from 1 species